rnacentral:rRNA from 1 species
GACGAACGCUGGCGGCGUGCUUAACACAUGCAAGUCGAACGGAAAGGCCCUGCUUUUGUGGGGUGCUCGAGUGGCGAACGGGUGAGUAACACGUGAGUAACCUGCCCUUGACUUUGGGAUAACUUCAGGAAACUGGGGCUAAUACCGGAUAGGAGCUCCUGCUGCAUGGUGGGGGUUGGAAAGUUUCGGCGGUUGGGGAUGGACUCGAGGCUUAUCAGCUUGUUGGUGGGGUAGUGGCUUACCAAGGCUUUGACGGGUAGCCGGCCUGAGAGGGUGACCGGCCACAUUGGGCCUGAGAUACGGCCCAGACUCCUACGGGAGGCAGCAGUGGGGAAUAUUGCACAAUGGGCGGAAGCCUGAUGCAGCAACGCCGCGUGCGGGAUGACGGCCUUCGGGUUGUAAACCGCUUUCGCCUGUGACGAAGCGUGAGUGACGGUAAUGGGUAAAGAAGCACCGGCUAACUACGUG